rnacentral:rRNA from 1 species
AUACGGAGGGUGCGAGCGUUGUUCGGAAUUACUGGGCGUAAAGCGGGUGUAGGCGGUGGACCAAGCCAGGUGUGAAAGCCCUCGGCUCAACCGAGGAAGUGCAUCUGAAACUGGUUCACUAGAGUACGGGAGAGGAGAGUGGAAUUCCCAGUGUAGAGGUGAAAUUCGUAGAUAUUGGGAGGAACACCGGUGGCGAAGGCGGCUCUCUGGAACGACACUGACGCUGAGACCCGAAAGCGUGGGGAGCAAACAGGAUUAGAAACCCUGGUAGUCC